UACGUAGGGCGCAAGCGUUGUCCGGAAUUAUUGGGCGUAAAGAGCUCGUAGGCGGCCUGUUGCGUCCGCUGUGAAAGCCCGGGGCUUAACCCCGGGUCGGCAGUGGAUACGGGCAGGCUAGAGGUAGGUAGGGGAGAAUGGAAUUCCCGGUGUAGCGGUGAAAUGCGCAGAUAUCGGGAGGAACACCGGUGGCGAAGGCGGUUCUCUGGGCCUUACCUGACGCUGAGGAGCGAAAGCGUGGGGAGCAAACAGG
rnacentral:rRNA from 1 species